GAUGAGCGCUAGCGGCAGGCCUAACACAUGCAAGUCGAGGGGCAUCAGGAACAAUAGCAAUAUUGUUUGCUGGCGACCGGCGCACGGGUGCGUAACACGUAUGCAACCUACCUCAUACAGGGGCAUAGCCCAGAGAAAUCUGGAUUAAUUCCCCAUAAUAUAUAGAUAAGGCAUCUUAUUUAUAUUAAAGUUUCGGCGGUAUGAGAUGGGCAUGCGUCCAAUUAGCUAGUUGGUGAGGUAAAGGCUCACCAAGGCUACGAUUGGUAGGGGGUCUGAGAGGAUGAUCCCCCACACUGGUACUGAGACACGGACCAGACUCCUACGGGAGGCAGCAGUGAGGAAUAUUGCGCAAUGGAGGAAACUCUGACGCAGCCAUGCCGCGUGAAGGAUUGAAUGCCCUAUGGGUUGUAAGCUUCUUUUGUACGGGAAUAAACCCUUGCUCGUGAGCGAGGUUGAAGGUACCGUAAGAAUAAGCACCGGCUAACUCCGUGCCAGCAGCCGCGGUAAUACGGAGGGUGCAAGCGUUAUCCGGAUUUAUUGGGUUUAAAGGGUCCGUAGGCGGAUCGUUAAGUCAGUGGUGAAAGCCCACAGCUCAACUGUGGAAUUGCCAUUGAUACUGGCGAUCUUGAGUGCGUGUGAAGUUAGCGGAAUGUGUGGUGUAGCGGUGAAAUGCUUAGAUAUCACACAGAACACCAAUUGCGAAGGCAGCUGGCUAACACGCAACUGACGCUGAGGGACGAAAGUGUGGGGAUCAAACAGGAUUAGAUACCCUGGUAGUCCACACCGUAAACGAUGAUUACUAGAUUUUGGCCGCAAGGUCAGAGUCCAAGCGAAAGUGUUUAGUAAUCCACCUGGGGAGUACGUCCGCAAGGAUG
rnacentral:rRNA from 1 species